rnacentral:lncRNA from 1 species
UUUGAUCCUAGAUAAAGCUAUAUAUAGAGAGAGAGAGAGAGAGAGAGUAUGACUAUUAUACUUUUAUGAUUAAUUAUAGAGUCCUUUAUACUCAUAAGCUGUUUUCGAUGAUAGAGCUUUCGAAUCGACGAUCCAUUCCGUUAAAUCUAGAGUAUUUGCAACUUAAAAAAAAUUUGUAAUUUUUCAAAAUCAUAAUAAAGUCCAUCAAGCAGGCAUAAUUAGAAUGAACAAUCAAAAUCGAACGACGUUCUAAAAAUAGAUGAUUAGAUUUUUCAAUUUAAAAUCGGAGUUACUGAUCUUUAUCUAGAUAGCAAAUAGAAUUUUCUAUCAAAAAUUCAACCGAUUCCGAUUCUUUUAUACCAAACUAACAAGUAUUCCAUACUGACCGUUAACAAUUGUCAAUUUUGAGAUCUUUUGAUCAUAAGGUAAAUGAUGUCAAAAAAUUAUAAAAUUUAAUUUCUAAAAAUUUUAAAUGCUUUAGAUAAUGUUUAACGGUAUGAAUCGUCAAUUCGGAAGCUCUAUCAUCGAAAACGAGUUAUGAGUACGAAUACGAUUGUACUUGUAAGAGUGUUUACUAGUCGGACCCUAUAUAUAUAUAUAUAGAGCUAGGCUGGUAUAAUAUUGGUAGCACGGAAGCCUCCAUGCUAUCAAAUUAUUUUCAAUGAUGCAGUUUCCAAAUCGACGAUUGGCUCUGCUAGACUUGAUCUACACUGAGUAUUUGAAAAUUAAAUUUUAUAAUUUUUCGACAUCAUUUGGCUAAUGAUCAAAAAACUUUAAACUUGACAAUUUUAAUGGCCGAUGUGAUGCGUUUGUGAAUUUAACGGUGUAAAACAAUCCAAAUCUGAUGAAAAUUUUAUAGAAAUUUUUUUCACUAUUUAGAGUAAGAUCAAUAUCUUUGAUCUUAAAUUCAAAUCAUUUAUCAUCAUUUAGAGAUUUUUAUUUUCAGCCAUUCAUUUUUAGACUACCCGUUUGAUAGGUAAAUGUUAUUAAAAAAUUACGAAAUUUAGUUUCCAAAUAUUUUCAAAAGUAUAGAUCAAGUCUAGUGGAGCCGAUCGUCGAUUUGGAAGCUGUAUCAUUGAAAACAACUUGGUAGUACGGAGGCCUCCGUACUAUUAAUAGUAUACCAACCUAGCUCUCUCUCUCUCUCUCUAUAUGUAUAUAGUUGAGCUAGAAUACUAUCGGUAGCAAACGAGCUCGGUGGCAAAAGGCCUUGAUGGUUGAUACCCGAGAUCCAAGUUCGAAUCCCAGUUGAUUCACAUUUCUAGCUAAAUUUAUUUCUAAAUGAAAUAGACGAAGCGGGUAGUAUGCUAUCUUUCUCUCCAAAAAAAAAAAGAAAAAAAAGCAAACGAGUUUGGUUGCUACCCAUUUGUUUUCGAUGAUGGAGCCUUUAAAUCGACAAUCGACAUCGUUGAAUAUGAUCUAUAUCGCUUGAAGUAUAUAGAAACCAAAUUUUUAAUUUUUUUCAACAUCAUUAACCUAAUGAUCAAAUGGUUUCAAAAUUUGUAAUUUUAAUACUCGAUAUGAAACAUUUUCUCGUUUAAUAGUGUAAAGAUAUCCAAAUCGAUUGAAUUUUGGUUAGAAAAUUUUUUAAACUAUUUAGAACAAGAUCUAUAUUCUCGAUCUUGAUUACAAGAUUUCUAUCAUCACUUUUUAAAGAACAUUCAUUUUCAGCUGUUCAUUUUGUGUCCACUUGAUGAAUAAGAGAACAAUAUCGAAAAUGCAUGAAAUUUUAUUUCUAGAUAUUUCAAAUGGUACAAACAAUGUUCAAUGGCACCGAUCGUCGAUUUGGAGGUUUUAUCAUAAAAAAUAGAUGGAUGGCAACGUGGCUUGUUUGCUACUGAUAGAAUUUCAGCUCAACUAAUUAUAUAUAUAUAUAUAUACAAUGGAUAUUGUAGUAA